UACGGAGGGUGCUAGCGUUGUUCGGAAUCACUGGGCGUAAAGGGCGUGUAGGCGGUCUGUUAAGUCUGAUGUGAAAUCCCCUCGCUCAACGAGGGAACUGCGUCGGAUACUGGCAGACUUGAGUACCGGAGAGGAAGGUGGAAUUCCCGGUGUAGCGGUGAAAUGCGUAGAUAUCUGGAGGAACACUGGUGGCGAAGGCGGCAUCCUGGACCGGCAUUGACGCUGAGGCGCGAAAGCCAGGGGAGCAAACGGG
rnacentral:rRNA from 1 species